AUUGAACGCUGGCGGCAGGCUUAACACAUGCAAGUCGAGCGAGCGGCGGACGGGUGAGUAAUGUCUGGGAAACUGCCAGAUGGAGGGGGAUAACUACUGGAAACGGUAGCUAAUACCGCAUACCAUAAGAUGUGCCCAGAUGGGAUUAGCUAGUAGGUGGGGUAUUGGCUCACCUAGGCUACGAUCCCGAGCUGGUCUGAGAGGAAGCCCAGCCACAUCGGCACUGUGACCCGGUCCAGACUCCUACGGGAGGCAGCAGUGGGUAAUAUUGCACAAGGGGCGCAAGCCGGAUGCAGCCAGGCCGCUUGUGUGAAGAAGGCCUUCGGGUUGUAAAGCACUUUCAGCGAUGAGGCGUUACUCGCAGAAGAAGCACCGGCUAACUCCGUGCCAGCAGCCGCGGUAAUUC
rnacentral:rRNA from 1 species